rnacentral:rRNA from 1 species
AUUGAACGCUGGCGGCAGGCCUAACACAUGCAAGUCGAACGAGUGGCGGACGGGUGAGUAAUGUCUGGGAAACUGCACGAUGGAGGGGGAUAACUACUGGAACCGGUAGCUAAUACCGCAUACCAUCGGAUGUGCCCAGGUGGGCUUAGCAAGUCGGUGGGGUAACGGCUCACCUAGGCGACGAUCCCUAGCUGGUCUGAGAGGAUGACCAGCCAAACUGGAACUGGGACAGGGUCCAGACUCCUACGGUAGGAAGAAGUGGGGAAUAUUGCACAAUGGGCGCAAGCUUGAUGCAGCCAUGCCGCGUGUAUGAAGAAGGCCUUCGGGUUGUAAAGUACUUUCAGCGAGGAGGCGUUACUCGCAGAAGAAGCACCGGCUAACUCCGUGCCAGCAGCCGCGGUGAUUC